rnacentral:rRNA from 1 species
GGAUCAUUGUCGAAAUCGAACGGAAGAACGACCCGCGAAUCGUCAUUGCGUAGUAGACAGAGCCCGCGAGCACCUAACGCUCACGGGUCUCGCGUCGCGUCGGCGCGGGUGUACUCGAGACCCGCGUCGUACCGGCGGACAAACAACGUCAGCACGGAUCGUGCCAAGGACCUGCAUGGAGAGAAUCGUCGUCCCACGCCUUUGAUAGUCCUCGACGCGGGACGGGGGACGUACGCAAUCUCUACUCAAGUCUAAACGACUCUCGGCAACGGAUAUCUCGGCUCUUGCAUCGAUGAAGAACGUAGCGAAAUGCGAUACUUGGUGUGAAUUGCAGAAUCCCGUGAACCAUCAAUUCUUUGAACGCAAGUUGCGCCCGAAGCCAUUCGGCCGAGGGCACGCCUGCCUGGGCGUCGUGAAUCCCCUUGCCCCUAGGCACCCGCAUGAGCAUUGGCGGGGAUAUAUGCUCGGGCGCAGAGGAUGGUCUCCCGUGGGAUCGGGCAUGCACGGCAUGUCGAGGUGCGGUUGGCCGAAAAUCGAGCAUGGCGGUGACGGGCACCACGGCGUUCGGUGGAUCGAAUGAGAUUGGCUGCGUCGUGGGCUCGGCAUGCGGCGGGCUCCGGACUUUGAAUAUCCCCGAGUGCGAUCCCAGGUCAGGCGGGGCUACCCGCUGAGUUUAAGCAUAUCAAUAAGCGGAGGAAAAGAAACUAACGAGGAUUCCCUUAGUAGCGGC